rnacentral:rRNA from 1 species
UACUAGAGUAGCACUCGCAUAUCAAUAAGCGGAGGAAAAGAAACUAACAAGGAUUCCCCUAGUAACGGCGAGUGAAGCGGGAAGAGCUCAAAUUUGAAAUCUUAAAGGGUUUCCCUUUACGAAUUGUAGUUUAAAGAAGUGUUCUCUGUUGAGGUUUUGGUAAAAGUUCUUUGGAAUAGGACAUCAUAGAGGGUGAGAAUCCCGUAUUUGACCUUUACUUUCAACUUUGUGAUACACUUUCAAAGAGUCGGAUUGUUUGGGAAUGCAGUCCAAAAUGGGUGGUAAAUUUCAUCUAAAGCUAAAUAUUGGCGAGAGACCGAUAGCGAACAAGUACCGUGAGGGAAAGAUGAAAAGAACUUUGAAAAGAGAGUUAAACAGUACGUGAAAUUGUUAAAAGGGAAGCGUUUGACACCAGUGUUGUUUUUCUGAAAAUCAAUUAAAGAACUGUUUAUGCUAAGCUGUUUAGACUUUAUCAGCUAACUGUUUAGUUUUGAGCUUUUCUUUAAUGCACUUUUCAGUUAACAAGUCAACAUCAAUUUCUUUUGCUGUAAAAAAGCUUGAGGAAGGUGGCUUGAGAUUCGUCUUAAGUGUUUAUAGCCUCUUGCCUAUGCAGUCGGAGAGAUUGAGGUCUGCAGCGUAGAUCCUUCGGGGCUAAAUGCAUUUGUGCUAAGUUAUAACAUUUUAUAGACAACUUGUUGACUAUGAUUUGUCUUGUAGCUUACUCGCUUAUGUUAUUUUACCUACGCUUAGGAUGUUGAUAUCGCGCUCUCACUG